GGAGAAGUGGCAGAGUGGUUGAAUGCGCUGGUCUCGAAAACCGGUAUUGUGCGUAAGCGUAAUCGAGGGUUCGAAUCCCUCCUUCUCCU
rnacentral:tRNA from 2 species